rnacentral:rRNA from 1 species
GAUGAACGCUAGCGACAGGCUUAACACAUGCAAGUCGAGGGGCAGCGAGGGCGUAGCAAUACGCCUGUCGGCGACCGGCGCACUGGUGAGUAACACGUAUGCGACCUGCCCCCUACAGGGGUAUAACCCGUAGAAAUGCGGACUAAUCCCCCAUAGUCCUGGAGGCUGCAUGGCAUUCAGGGGGAAAGGCCAGCCGGUAGGGGAUGGGCAUGCGGCGCAUUAGCUAGUUGCGGGGCAACGGGCCCACCAAGGCGACGAUGCGUAGGGGUUCUGAGAGGAAGGUCCCCCANACUGGUACUGAGACACGGACCAGACUCCUACGGGAGGCAGCAGUGAGGAAUAUUGGGUCCAAUGGGCGCAGGCCU